rnacentral:rRNA from 1 species
CAAACUUUUGAUGGCGACCGGCGCACGGGUGAGUAACACGUAUCCAACCUGCCUCAUACUCGGGGAUAGCCUUUCGAAAGAAAGAUUAAUACCCGAUGUCAUAGUCCUACCGCAUGAUGGGAUUAUUAAAGAAUUUCGGUAUGGGAUGGGGAUGCGUUCCAUUAGUUAGUUGGCGGGGUAACGGCCCACCAAGACAACGAUGGAUAGGGGUUCUGAGAGAAAGGUCCCCCACAUUGGAACUGAGACACGGUCCAAACUCCUACGGAAGGCAGCAG